GUAACUCAGCGGGUCAGACAGCAUCUGUGGAAGACAUGGGUAGGCGAUAUUAUGGGUCUGGAACCUUCUUCAGCCUC